UCUUUAGAUUGACAUAAAACCUUUUAAAUGGAACGCAUAAUACAGAUACUUGCAUGUUUGGUAUUCAUUGUUUACGUUGGAAAUGAUUCUUCCUCUUGCUUCUCAUCACAGAUGCAAUCAGCAUUAAAUAGUGCACAUACAUAUGCACAACGUCUGAACAAAUAUCUAGACAAAUGUGACAGUGACAAUGAUUUAAAGAAACCAAUGAAAUUACUUGGACGACAUACAGAGCAAGUAAUAAAGGAUAUUGACCUGAUUAAUGUCAUUUACCACAAAAGACAAUGGACGAGAUUUAACAGCCACUGCUAUUACUUUUCAACUAGUGCCACUUUCUGGCAAAGUGCUAAGGCACAUUGUGAAAGAUAUCAAUCUAGUUUGGUGAAAAUUGACGAUCGAGAAGAGGAAAAAUGGCUUCAACGUAGUAUUGAAAACCAACGGCAAGUACACAGAACUGUAG